GCAAGUCGAGCGCUUCACUUCGGUGAGGAGCGGCGGACGGGUUAGUAACGCGUGGGAAUAUGCCCUUCUCUACGGAAUAGCCUCGGGAAACUGAGAGUAAUACCGUAUACGCCCUUUGGGGGAAAGAUUUAUCGGAGAAGGAUUAGCCCGCGUUAGAUUAGAUAGUUGGUGGGGUAAUGGCCUACCAAGUCUACGAUCUUUAGCUGGUUUUAGAGGAUGAUC
rnacentral:rRNA from 1 species